rnacentral:rRNA from 2 species
GGAUUGGCGCAUCGGUCGUGCCUUACGGGGUAUGAACUGGUGCAGUCAAUUUCUCACCUUCUGGAGAACCGCGAUGUCCUUAAUUGGGUGCCGCGGGGAACCAGGACCUUUACUUUGAAAAAAUUAGAGUGUUUAAAGCAGGCAUUUUUGCUUGAAUACAUUAGCAUGGAAUAAUAAAAUAGGACGGCAUGGUUCUAUUUUGUUGGUUUCUAGGACCACCGUA